rfam:Triticum aestivum genome assembly, contig: Triticum_aestivum_CS42_TGACv1_scaffold_500316_6BL
CCUAUACUUCCUCCGCCCCGAAUUACUUGGCAUAGAAAUGAAUAACAAUGAAUGUAUCUAGAACUAAAAAUACAUCUAGAUACAUCCAUUUUUGCGACAAAUAAUUCAGGAUGGAGGGAGUAAUAC